UACGAAGGGGGCUAGCGUUGCUCGGAAUCACUGGGCGUAAAGGGUGCGUAGGCGGGUCUUUAAGUCAGGGGUGAAAUCCUGGAGCUCAACUCCAGGACUGCCUUUGAUACUGAGGAUCUUGAGUUCGGGAGAGGUGAGUGGAACUGCGAGUGUAGAGGUGAAAUUCGUAGAUAUUCGCAAGAACACCAGUGGCGAAGGCGGCUCACUGGCCCGAUACUGACGCUGAUGCACGAAAGCUAGGGGAGCAAACAGG
rnacentral:rRNA from 1 species